GAAGAUGCAGUAGGAGGAGGUGAAGGAGGAGAUGGAGGAGGGGUGUGUUUUGUAAAUGAGGUCCUUACGUUGGAACAGUGCUGUGCAUUGUUCCAGAGACACAGGAGUCUGAACACUGUAACCACACGCAUGUUCCUGGAGCUCAGUCGAGCUACCAGCUCACCAGAAUGACUAGCUCACUGGAGCGACCAGUUCACUGGACCAGCUCACUGGAGCGAUCAGUUCACUGGACCAGCUCACCAUAGCCACCAGCUCAUCAGAACGAUUAGCUCCAUGGAGCGACCAGUACACUGGACCAGCUCACUGGAGCGACCAGCUCACUGGACCAGUUCACUGGAGCAGCUCAGAGAAACCAGCCAGAGAACCAGACUCUCUAGAACACUGAGACCAGAGAUUAAACAAUGUUUCUAUGUUUCUUGUUUUAAUGGAUAACAAAAAAAAAGACUGAAUAUUUAACGGAGGAAAAGCGAUGUUUACACGAUGCAUCUCCACACCCUCACCUGCCAGACACCUGAUCAGCACUGUAAAGCGUUCUGUAAAACGUCCAAACCCCCUGCAUAGCAAAGACGGCGCCUCCAUGUUUAUUUAACCGUCGCCAUGGCGUCCGCGGUCACAGGGACACAAUGUGUUGUAAAUUAUGCAAAUGAGUUGUGUGUUUCCUUUUCCUUUGAUGAGCUGUGUGUACCAGUCAUAUAAACAAUACUUUAUGUUGUGUUUCUACAUCCAAUAAAGCCCUACCGAUUUCAACCUGUGUCUCUGCCUUCUGCCCAUGUGACACCACUGAGGUCAGGUGAUCACCCGACCAGGCGAUACUUCCUGUGUGUCUGCAGCGAGGGGUGAGAUGUUGCUUCCACUAAAUGUAAUGUUUAUGGGGCAGAGUGACUUAUGACCUCGCCGUCUGAAUGUUUCAUGGACACAAAUAUUUCAUGAAGGCGCUUCACAUGAACACGGUUCAGUCGCUCCAAAUAUAGAACCGCGCUCCAGAUCGACGACAAGAAGACAUCAGUCUUAGUCUGGAAGGUUCUUCACUUCUCUGCUUUAUUGUUGUUCUUACCAGAGGACUGUUUUAGUGUAGUGUUCCUAACUUAUUUAAUACAGUGUUCCUUUGAGUUUAAGUGAUUAAAUGAUCAAACACG
ensembl:lncRNA